AGUAUUUUUUAACUUAAGGGAGUUGGGAGGGGAGCGUACAGAAUUAGUCUUCAUUUUUCUCUCCUCACACACGCAUACAUACAACUGUAACAACUUUCUCUCUUUGCGUUCUCUCUCCUCACUGUCAUCCCUCUCUCUCGUCCGGCGUGCGUCGCCGAUCUCGCCGCCUCUCUUCCUCUUCCAUUCCUUCUCUAUUUCUUCCCCUAAAUCUAAAGUCCCCAAUUUCUAGGGUUUCCUGCCUCCAUACACAUCUGAAUUUCGCCCCUCCGUUGAGUCCUGCCACUGUCGCCGCCGUCCCCGUUGCACCACCACCUUCUCUAUCUCAGGGAUCGAUGAUUCGAGGUUUCUCCGGCUAGGCAAUCCGUCUCUUAAUACUGCAGCUCAUGUUUCUACCUUUAUCUUCAUUGCUUUUGUUAUUAAUCAGUUUGCUGGAUGGUGAAACAUACUUUAUUUAUGCAAAUUAAAAGUUAGAGAUAAGGGUGUAAUCGAGUCGAGCCGAGCCGAAUAGUGUCUUGUUCAAGCUUGUCUCGUUUAGCUAAUCGAGCUGUUUGAUUAAUUAUCGAUCGAGCUUUAAUCGAGUCGAAUACAAUGCCGAGCCUAAUCAAGCUUUUUAAAUUUAAAUUUUUAUUUAAAAAUUUAAUUAUUUUCCUAAUACAUAAGUUAAUUUUCAAAUAUAUAAGUUAUUUUAUUCACAAAAAUAUAAUAUAUUUACUAUUCUCUUGUAAAUAAAUGAUGUUAAUUAGAUACUUAAUCCAAAUAUUACUAUAGUAUAAAAUAUGGUAAGACAUUUAAUUAAUAAUCUUAUGUUUUUAAGAUAAAUCACUUCACGAGCUUGUUCACGAGCUAAAGAGCCGAACAUCGUCAUGCUCAAGCUUGGCUUGUUUAGCUAAACGAGUUGUUCAUUAAAUUAACGAACGAGCUUUUAUCGAGUCGAACGUCGAAUAGCUCAUGAGUAGCUUGGCUCGUUUACAGCCCUAGUUAGAGAUGUGUUUGUCGCUAUCUAUUUAUGAUGUUUUUGGUUGUUAUUCUACGUAUGCAAAUAAUGAAUGAAUUGUAUUGUAAAGAAGAAAGACUACUUUCGGAUGUGGACUACUGUUGAAAUAUGUACUCCCUUCGUCCCAAACGAAAUGUCCUGUUUUUCUUUUUGGGCUGUCUCAAACCAAAUGUCCUGUUUCUUUUUUUGGCAAUACUCUCUCUAUAUACUUAAUAUUUAAAUAAUUUCCACCAACCCACUUUAUCUACUUUAUACACAUUUCUUAAUCUUCGUGCCGAAAAGAAAUAGGACAUUUCGUUUGGGACGCAGGAAGUAGUAUUUUUGAUGGAUGUAGCAUAACAGAUGGGAUUUAAAAUUCUGCAGAAUGGGAAAAAAUGUUUUACGCCUAGCUCACCUUCCUUUUUUUAUAUAAAUUAAUAAUAUUAAAUAAAAAAAUUUAAAAGCCGGGUUAAUGGGACUCAACCCAAUACCUUUGACCUUAGUCCUUAGUGGAGUAGCUGUGUUGAGUCGGCUUAAGAGAGUAGUUGUGUCAAAAGUUAGAAGCUAUACAGAAUUUGGGUUCCUACUCGUUUUUCACACUCAACAACUUGCUGGCCCAAACCAGCUAUCGGUCAUUCUAUAUAUCUCAACAGUAAGGGGUUGUAUUCGUUGUGUAUUUCCACAGACUUUAAAAAGUCCAUGGAAUUUAAAUUACAUGGAAUCCACAUACAUUCCAGACGACUUUCAAAGAAUUCGUAGGUUGGAUUUUACCCCGAUUUUCACUGAUUUUCGAAGACUUUACAGGAUAAUUUUGAAAUUGAAUUCCAUGAAACCAGCUCCCGCUAGAAAAGACCCAGCGACCGCUGAGCUCCAGCGAGCGCUGGUUUCACAUCCACAUUGCUUCUGUUUUGCUUUCACAUGAUGAUGUUCUGGCUCUAUCAGCUGCCAAUUUGAGGGGAUUGCAGAUGCUUUCUCUUGUUCUUGGAUCAGGAAUAACUGAUGCAUCGGUGGCAGCUAUUGCUUCGAGUUUCACAAAGUUGGAAUUGCUUGAUUUAAGUGGGUGGCAUUUAAUUUGCUGUUGGUCAGCUGCCUUGUCUGGAACUUAUGGACUGUGGAAUGACCAUAUGUGAUCCGAAUUAUGAAAAAUCCACUGAUGAAGAGGAUGAUGACUCCGAGUUACAUAAAACACCCAACGAUUGCUGGACACUUAGUGAUUGCUGGACUUUCUCAACGAGUGCUGAGUUCCAGCGCUCGCUUGCUUUUUGGCCGCGGGCGCUGGAACUCAGCGCUCGCUUAAAACUUCAUGGAUUUCAAUUCUCGUGGUUCUUGGCCGGAUUUCGUCGUGUGUAUUUUUUGAAUGAAAUCCAUGAAAGUCAUUUCGGAUUUUAAGUCAAUAGAAUAACGAAUACACCUAGAUUUGUAUGGAUUUUAAAAAGUCUGGAACGAAUACCCCCAGAUUUAUAUGGACUUUUAAAAGUCUUGAACGAAUACACCCAGAUUUCUGCAGACUUUUAAAAGUCUUGAACGAAUACACCCAGACUUUUAAAAUCCAUAGAAAUCCAUCAAAUUCCACAACGAAUACACCCCCCUAAG